rnacentral:rRNA from 1 species
UACAGAGGGUGCGAGCGUUAAUCGGAAUUACUGGGCGUAAAGCGUGCGUAGACGGUUACGUAAGUCGGAUGUGAAAGCCCCGGGCUCAACCUGGGAAUUGCAUUCGAGACUGCGUAGCUAGGAUGCGGAAGAGGGAAGCGGAAUUUCCGGUGUAGCGGUGAAAUGCGUAGAUAUCGUAAGGAAGACCAGUGGCGAAGGCGGGUCUCUGGACAGUUCCUGACGCUGAGGCACGAAGGCCAGGGGAGCAAACGGG